GGGUGAGUAACACGUAAGCAACCUACCCUAAAGACGAGGAUAACCAUUGGAAACAGUGGCUAAGACUGGAUAGGAAGAUAAAAGGCAUCUUUUAUCUUUUAAAAGACCUAGUAAUAGGUAUGCUUUAGGAGGGGCUUGCGCCAUAUUAGUUAGUUGGUAGGGUAAUGGCCUACCAAGACGAUGAUGUGUAGCUGGACUGAGAGGUUGAACAGCCACAUUGGGACUGAGACACGGCCCAAACUCCUACGGGAGGCAGCAGUAGGGAAUUUUCGGCAAUGGAGGAAACUCUGACCGAGCAACGCCGCGUGAAUGACGAAGUACUUCGGUAUGUAAAGUUCUUUUAUCAAGGAAGAAAAGCAAAUGGCGAACCAUUUGUUUGCCGGUACUUGAUGAAUAAGCCCCGGCUAAUUAUGUGCCAGCAGCCGCGGUAAGACAUAAGGGGCAAGUGUUAUCCGGAAUUAUUGGGCGUAAAGGGUGCGUAGGCGGUCUAGUAAGUCAGUGGUGUAAUGGCAACGCUUAACGUUGUCCGGCUAUUGAAACUGCUAAACUUGAGUUAGAUAGAGGCGAGUGGAAUUCCAUGUGUAGCGGUAAAAUGCGUAAAUAUAUGGAGGAACACCAGAGGCGUAGGCGGCUCGCUGGGUCUUAACUGACGCUGAGGCACGAAAGCGUGGGGAGCAAACAGGAUUAGAUACCCUGGUAGUCCACGCCGUAAACGAUGAGUACUAAGUGUCGGGUUAAACCGGUACUGAAGUUAACACAUUAAGUACUCCGCCUGAGUAGUACGUACGCAAGUAUGAAACUUAAAGGAAUUGACGGGACUCCGCACAAGCGGUGGAUCAUGUUGUUUAAUUCGAAGAUACCCGAAAAACCUUACCAGGUCUUGACAUGUUUUUGCAAAAUGAUAGUAAUAUCGUGGAGGUUACCAGAAACACAGGUGGUGCAUGGUUGUCGUCAGCUCGUGUCGUGAGAUGUUAGGUUAAGUCC
rnacentral:rRNA from 1 species